AGGGUGAUUCCCCGUUCACUUCGCUAUUCACUUCACUUACGAACUCGAUUUGAUCUGUCAAAUAAAAAGUUGAUGUUCGUCGAGUGAAAUCUAUACGUUUAUUAGUUAUUUGCUAGUGAUAUCGUGUCUAAUAAGACUCAAUAAGUUUCAAUUAAGGAAGCUCAUACUUUGGACAAUUUUGAGUUGCGUCGACAAGCCUAUGAAAUUCGUAGUUUGUCUCUAUUGGCCCGAGAUGAUAACUAUGUCAGCGUAUAUAGUCUUUCGAAGCAAUUAAUCGACCAACUCGAGCUUGAGUUGCUCCCUAUAAUAAAAAAGUACCAAACGUCGAAGAAAAGGACUUACAACUCGUAUUAAGGUUUCAAGAAAAAUUCAUCAUUGGCAGCAUUGAUGGCACUCUCGUAACUUAAAAAGACCGGCUGAGCAUGAAGACUUCUUCUGUCGUAAGAAUUAUCAUGCUAGGAUGUGCAAUUGAAAAAAUAUCAUGUGCAAUUGAUUACAGAUGACAGUUUUAUUUUUAAUGAAGAUGUAAGAGAUCACUUAGAGGCUUUGACAAAUGCUGGUGAAGAAAUUGUUUUGUUCGGUGGUUCUGGAUAUGCUGAGCGGGCUAACCUUAUGACACCUAUAAAUAAUGCCCCAGACAAUACUCCUGAAACAUAUUAUAACAUGCUUACGCAACUCCGUAGAACGCCAAAUGGUUUGUUGAAGACGCUUCAGGUGUUUGUUAGUACACAGGGUCCUAGACUAUCAUCCUGAUAAAGUUGCAAUGCAUGUUGUAUUCUGCAUAACGUGUUCAACCGGGCUGGAAUGGAGGUAGUUAAUUUGACUGAAGAUGAAAACCUAGAGGAAGCUCAGGUGGCAGCCGAGACACAGAGAAGGCAACGUGCCAAAUCAUGAUGAUUUAAAUGUUGGACGGUCGCAAAGGCCUCAAAGGACAAAGAAAAAAAAAGUCAAAGAUCUUGUGAAUAGAUUGUGGUGAUCGCG
rnacentral:lncRNA from 1 species